rnacentral:rRNA from 1 species
UAUGGCUGUCGUCAGCUCGUGUCGUGAGAUGUUGGGUUAAGUCCCGCAACGAGCGCAACCCUUGUCCUUAGUUGCCAGCGAGUAAUGUCGGGAACUCUAAGGAGACUGCCGGUGACAAACCGGAGGAAGGUGGGGAUGACGUCAAGUCCUCAUGGCCCUUACGGCCAGGGCUACACACGUACUACAAUGGUCGGUACAGAGGGUUGCAAUACCGAGAGGUGGAGCCAAUCCCACAAAGCCGAUCCCAGUCCGGAUCGAAGUCUGCAACUCGACUUCGUGAAGUCGGAAUCGCUAGUAAUCGCGGAUCAGCUAUGCCGCGGUGAAUACGUUCCCGGGCCUUGUACACACCGCCCGUA